UACGGAGGGUGCGAGCGUUGUCCGGAAUCACUGGGCGUAAAGGGCGCGUAGGUGGCUGGGGAAGUCGGCGGUGAAAGCCCGGAGCUCAACUCCGGGUCGGCCGUCGAGACUCCUCGGCUCGAGCUCACUAGAGGCAGAUGGAAUUCCGGGUGUAGCGGUGGAAUGCGUAGAGAUCCGGAAGAACACCGGUGGCGAAGGCGGUCUGCUGGGGUGAGGCUGACACUGAGGCGCGACAGCGUGGGGAGCAAACAGG
rnacentral:rRNA from 1 species